UAUAUAUAUAUAUAUAUAUAUAUAUAUAUAUAUAUAUAUAUAUAUAUAGAGUCCGGUUACUAUGCUAUUAAUAGCACGAAGUAUUUGGUGCUACCAAGUUUUCCACCGUUAGAUCUACCCUUUUGAUCAUUUUCACCCGUUAGAUCAUACUAUUCAACCAACCACCAACUCAACCCUUGGGGACCCACAUCAUCCUAACCGUACAUCUUUUAAUCCAAUGACCAAAAACUUGAUAGCACCAAUAAUUUGGUGCUAUUAAUAGUAUAGUAGCCUAGUUAUAUAUAUAUAUAUAUAUAGAGGUGGUGUUUAAUUUGAUAGUGUCUAAUUU
rnacentral:lncRNA from 1 species